GUGUCCGUGGCUCAAUUGGAUAGAGCACUCCCCUCCGAAGGGAGAUGUUGGAGGUUCAAGUCCUCUCGGACACA
rnacentral:tRNA from 1 species